rnacentral:ncRNA from 2 species
GGCGCGGGCCGUUACUGGCGCGUGGGGAUGGAGAACCAUCGGGGAGCGGCCCCGUCACACGGACGUUUGCCGAGCGCCUGGGCCUUCCCG